UUUCUGAGCAGCUGUAUGGGAGAGGUACAAGGGGUGGGGGACUGACGGUAUAAAAGAGAAAUCUGCCCUCCCCCUCCACUGGUGGCCAUCGCUGGAGACCAAUACCAGCUUCCCCAUCCUGGAGAAAGUCUAGAAGUCAAGCAGGGGUGGUGGGGCAUGAGGCUGAAGAGGUUAUGGCGGGAAAGAUCACAGAGCGCUUCAAAUGCCAGUGUCUGGAGGUUGGACUCUGUCCUGAGGGUAAGGAGAUUCCCAUUUUCCAGACAAGGAAACUGAGACCCAAAGAGUAACUUGCCCAGGGUCACCUCCAACAUGCAGACCCCUGCCAUGAUGUCUCUGCUGCUCGUGUCCAUGGGCCUCAUGGAAGCACUUCAGGCCCAGAGCCACCCCAUCACACGACGGGACCUCUUCUCUCGAGAAAUGCCCCUGGACAUGGCCCUGGCCUCCUUUGAUGACCAGUAUGCUGGCUGUGCCACAGCCAUGGCGGCGGCUCUCCCAGAUCUCAACCGCACGGAGUUCCAGGCCAACAAAGUGUACGCCGAUGUCUGGGCUCAAGCAAGCAGCCAGUGGCAGGAGCGCCAGGCCUGGGGGCCCAAGUGGGGCCUCAGCCCUACCCGUCUGGCCCCGCCCGCGGGCUUCCGAGAAGAGCACGGGGUGGCCCUCCUGGCCUACACGGCUAACAGCCCCCUGCACAAAGAAUUCAACGCGGCCGUGCGCGAGGCUGGCCGCUCCCGGGCCCACUACCUCCACCACUUCUCCUUCAAGACACUCCACUUCCUGCUGACCGAGGCCCUGCAGCUGCUGGGCAGGGGCCAGCGUCCACCCCAGUGCCGCCAGGUGUUCCGAGGGGUGCAGGGCCUGCACUUCCGGCCAGCGGCGCCCGGGGCCACUGUCAGGCUGGGGGGCUUUGCCUCUGCAUCCCUGCAGAAUGCUGCAGCCCAGCAGUUUGGGGAAGACACCUUCUUUGGCAUCUGGACCUGUCUCGGGGCCCCUAUCAAGGGCUACUCCUUUUUCCCUGGGGAGGAGGAGGUGCUGAUCCCUCCCUUCGAGACCUUCCAGGUGAUCAAUGCCAGCAGACCGGCCCAGGGCCCUGCCCGCAUCUACCUCCGGGCCCUGGGCCAGCGCAGCACAUACAACUGCGAGUACAUCAAAGACAAGCAGUGCAAGUCAAGGCCCUGCCAUCUGGAUAACUCAGCCAUGGGUCAGGGCCCCCUUUCUGCAGUCUGCUCCCUUCUACUGCUGCUCUGGUUCCUUGUUGGAGAAGCCUUUCCAGAGAGUCCAGGACUCCUCUAAUCCAUCAGCCACUGAACAGCUCUGCCAUCACCUCUGCCCAACAUGAGGAUGUCAGCCACAUAGCACUCUGUGCCCGCAUCCUGUCAGUCAUACUGCUGAAUGCUCUUGAAUGCUUCAUCACCUCUCCGGCUCGGGCCCAUCCUUCCUGCAUAUGGACCCCGGCAGCAGCCGCCUCCUCCCUGCUCUUCCAACUCGGGCUCACCUCUCUAACCACCUGCCACACUUCCGAGAGAUCAAGCUUUUAAACAAAUGAAUCUGACUAGACCAGUAGCUGCUUAAACCUGUUCAGUGGCUCCCCAGGCCUGCUAGAUAAAGCCCAAACUCAUCCUUCGCGGUCUGGUCCCCCUGGCUUUUCCAGCCCUACCCCUGGGAGCUGCCCUGUCAACUGCUCCCGCCCCAGUCAGGCAAGCCCCCUCUUGCCCUCUUCAGCUCCCCCUCCUCCACACUCCCCAGAUAGCGCUUGCUCCCAGCACAGAAGUGAAGAGAGAGCACGUGGAGAGAGGUUUGGGGAGGAUGGGAACAGCAGCAACGCCCAGAGAGGCCAGGGCUGGUUUAUUGAGCUUCAUACCUGGCAGUAGUGGAAGCAGGAGGAGAAGGCCCAGGGUGGAGACAGAGAAGCUGAGGCCGAGGCGGUGGCUCCCGGGCCCCAUGGCCUUGCCGCAGCCAGAGGAAGGGCAGGUCUCUGGGGGUGAGCCUCCUGGCCUGACCUACGGCAACAUCAGGCCCUGCUGGCAAGGAUGGUGUGGACAAUCCCUGCACGUCAGAAGGAAGACUGGGAUCUCUGCUGAGUCCAGCUACCCUGCAGGGAGUCCUGCAGCCCUUCCAGUUACCUGACACUGCUAUUUGUACCUGCCCUGGGAUUUUAGUACUUGGGCCUUGGCAUCUACUGUUUCUCCUUCUCUGCUGGUCUUUGCCUCUUCUGGCCGCUGCCUCUGCCCUGUUCUUCACCCCCCACCCCCUUUACCUCUCACUCAGACUCUCUGUCUCGAUUUCCUUCUAUCCGUCCCUCUGUAACCCUUUCUUGGUCUCUGCCUCCCUGACUCUGGUCUUCCUCUUUCCACUCUCUCUUCCUUUCUCCUGCCUCUAUUUCAGCCCCCUUGACUUCCUCAAGGCCUUCCCCACACCUGAUUCUGGGGGAGCCUGGCGCAUUCUCAGCAGGACAGGGACAGGGACUCCAUCAGCCCUGAACCUUCUGAGGCACAGGACAGCAGGCCACGCCCCCUUUACCUUUCAUUAGCUUAUAGAGUUGGGACACCUGUGUCCAUGGGAACAGAGCAACUGAAACUGACACCUCAGGUCACUGGGACCUGAAUUAUUCAAAUUCUGUAAGGUAGCACCCUCACUCAAGUCAGGCCCAGCUUGGGGGAUUGGAGGGUACAGAGAUGCCAGGUCAGGAUCUGCAAGAGACUGGGGCUUAAAGGUGUGAGGGGACAGGGCCAGUGGAUGGAAACUGUCCUCCCAGCUCUGCCAUCAUUACUGAAUUCUUGAGGCUCCCUUUCGUCUGUCAGCUGUGCCCUCAGUUAGGGACUGAACACAUCUGUCUAGGCUGGUGCUUUGUGCCAAGCAAGCUCUCCCCGGUGAGAGGGGUGCCAAGCCUCAGGCUGCUCCAGGUGGCCCCACAAAGCAGGGGAUGCAGCCCGCAUCCUCGCCAUCCCACAGCCAUCCCAGUCUGAGCCUCAGUAUUCUCCCUAUGCUUAAACAUCACAGGCGGUAUUGGGCUGCAGGGAAAACACAGCCUUUAUUUAUUUA